GCUAUCGCUCUCUAUCAAGAAAAAAAAUACCUUAUCCUUAUCCCUUUCCCCGUCUCACCACGGAGGUGGAGAAGAAGCACGGGAGCACGCCGGCGCGACGCCUGGGAGGUCGAUGUGGAGGCGGCGGAUCGGACGAGCCCGACGAGAGGUCCGCCGGGGAACUGGAGCUGCAGCGCCGCCGGCUUUUCCUCCCAAUUUCUUGGAGCGGAGCUGGAGCGAUGUCGCCGCCGGCGUCGUCGAGCCGUCGAGGCACCUACUCCUCUUGUGCACCGUGAUUUGCCUUCUCAUCCAUGUUGGCCGCGAGGGUUUCUGCCCCGCCGCCGGGAAGCCGUGCGCGGAGUCUGCACAUUAAGGUGUUGGGGACGCCAAAGACAGAGAAGAAGGGCAAUGGAGAAGCCGAUUUGUCGUUGGUUAGAGAUAUACUUUUGAUGAGAUGAUGAAGAUGGAGAAGGAAGGCAACCGAAACGGGCGAAGAGAGGUGGAUAGAAAGUAAUUCUAAAAAAUACAGUAUUAGUCGCAUCACACGGUAGAGGGAGUUGCUCGGUCCAUACCCGUAGUUGCUCAAAAAACCUGAUGCAUCGUUUUUUAUACUUGUGUAUAUAAUGCAUCUAUAUGUAUAUGUGUGUGUUACUGCCACCUAUAUAUGUUGUCCUCUACUUGUUAUUUUGUGGUUCUUUUAUUAUUUUACAUAAGGGUUGCCUGAUAUUAUUGCAA